CCUACGGGAGGCAGCAGUGAGGAAUAUUGGUCAAUGGGCGGAAGCCUGAACCAGCCAAGUAGCGUGCAGGAUGACUGCCCUACGGGUUGUAAACUUCUUUUAUAAGGGAAUAAAGUGAGGCACGUGUGCCUCUUUGUAUGUACUUUAUGAAUAAGGAUCGGCUAACUCCGUGCCAGCAGCCGCGGUAAUACGGAGGAUCCGAGCGUUAUCCGGAUUUAUUGGGUUUAAAGGGAGCGUAGGCGGGGUGUUAAGUCUGUUGUGAAAGGUUGGGGCGCAACCCUAGCAUUGCAAUUGAAACUGGCAUGCUUGAGGACAGGGAAAGGAGGCGGAAAUGGUGGUGUAGCGGGGAAAUGCUUAGAUAGGACGAAGAACCCCGAUUGCGAAGGGAGCCU
rnacentral:rRNA from 1 species